AGGACAUCUGCGGUGUGCUGAUGCACAUCAUAUCUCUGGGGUUCAGGAUGAAUGUAAAUAAAAGCAAUUUUACACUCAGUCAAAGUGUGUUUUUUUUGGGCUUGGAGCUGAACUCAGUCUCCAUGCGAGCGCGUCUGUUGCAAGAGUGCAUUCUCUCUCUAAUGAAUUGCAGCCUGUUACGCGAUCUCUUCCACUCUAUAACAGUGACGUGCACCUAUACGGCAGCUCUGCGUCACUGGAGGAGCACGGACUUUUACGCACAGGGAAUGUUGCGGAAAGUCGUGACGACAGAUGCGUCCUUGACAGGCUGGGGUGCCACCCAGGAGGGCAGAACGGUGAACGGUUUGUGGCUGAGCAGACUAUGUUCAGCACACAUAAAUUAUUUAGAGCUCUUGACCAUAUGGAAAUCUCUGAAUUAUUUUCUGCCUCACCUGCAAGGACACCAUGUGCUCGUGCACUGCGACAAUACCACAGCGGUGAAGUAUAUCAAUCACCAGGGUGGUAUGCGCUCGUCGAAACUUCACGCUCUAGCUCACAAGCUGUUAGUGUGGAGCAGUUGGUUUUUCCUGUCGUUACACGCAACUCGUGUCCCAGGCAUUCUGAACAGAGGUCAGACCUUCUAUCAAGGGGAAACCCACUCUACGGAGAAUGGUGCCUCCACCCUCAGAUAGUGGGCUUGAUAUGGAUGAGAUUUGGACAGGCAACUGUAGAUCUAUUUGCCUUGCAUGAAAACAGCAAUUGUCCUAUGUUCUUCUCGCUAAAGGACGUGGAUGCGCCCCUCUGGGUAGAUGCACUGGCCCACCCAUGGCCCAAAGUGCUGCUGUAUGCUUUUCCUCCCCUGUGCCUGAUAAUUCCCACACUCUCUCAUUCUGAUAGCACCCAGGUGGCCCAAAGCACCAUGGCUGGCAGAGAUAAUCCCUCUGUUUUAUGCCCAACAGUGGCGCCUCCCCCUACGCACAGACCUAUUGUCUCAAGCGAAUGGGGAGAUUUAUCACCCACACCCAGACAGGAUGGCUCUCUGGGCCUGGCCCAUGAGAGGACAAACUUAAAUGCACUAGGGCUUCCCCCGCGUGUGGUUGCUACUAUACAGAAUGCCAGGGCCUUC
ensembl:lncRNA